GUGUCAGCCGCCGCGGUAAUACGUAGGGUGCAAGCGUUGUCCGGAAUUAUUGGGCGUAAAGAGCUCGUAGGCGGUUUGUCGCGUCGGCUGUGAAAACUCGGGGCUCAACCCCGAGCCUGCAGUCGAUACGGGCAGACUAGAGUGCUGUAGGGGAGACUGGAAUUCCUGGUGUAGCGGUGAAAUGCGCAGAUAUCAGGAGGAACACCGGUGGCGAAGGCGGGUCUCUGGGCAGUAACUGACGCUGAGGAGCGAAAGCGUGGGGAGCAAACAGGAUUAGAUACCCUCGUAGUCC
rnacentral:rRNA from 1 species